rnacentral:lncRNA from 1 species
GGUAUGACAAUUUUCCUUUAUCCUUAGUAGAACCAGAUCCAAUUUUGUUGUUGUGUUAUUGCGUGUGCACCAUUGAUAAACCUUCCAUUGCAUAUCCAGAAUAUUACUUUACAUCAUUGAGUCUCUCCGAGGAAUUAGCAGAUAGGAGGUUUAGAUGAACAUUGCACAGCAUGUGAAAAACUUGGAUGAAAAAGCCAACACCUACUCAGAGUGCAGCCAAAAGCCAACACCUAUUCAGAGUGCAGCUUACCAGUUGCGUUAAAAGGUCCUGGGUCACAUGAAAAGCAUAGGUGGAUUGGUAAAUACUCUUUGGAAUGGGCUGCGUUUGGAGGACAUCCUUCAUUCCCUUCACGUUAUGUAUGCAAUCAUAUCCAAUACAGGUAAGGCUAUGUGUUAGGUCGGUUGAUUUCGGAUGCAAAA